rnacentral:rRNA from 1 species
GAUGAACGCUGGCGUCGUGCCUAAUACAUGCAAGUCGAGCGAACGGACGAGAAGCUUGCUUCUCUGAUGUUAGCGGCGGACGGGUGAGUAACACGUGGAUAACCUACCUAUAAGACUGGGAUAACUUCGGGAAACCGGAGCUAAUACCGGAUGAUAUUUUGAACCGCAUGGUUCAAAAGUGAAAGACGGUCUUGCUGUCACUUAUAGAUGGAUCCGCGCUGCAUUAGCUAGUUGGUAAGGUAACGGCUUACCAAGGCAACGAUGCAUAGCCGACCUGAGAGGGUGAUCGGACACACGGGAACUGAGACACGGUCCAGACUCCUACGGGAGGCAGCAGUAGGGAAUCUUCCGCAAUGGGCGAAAGCCUGACGGAGCAACGCCGCGUGAGUGAUGAAGGUCUUCGGAUCGUAAAACUCUGUUAUUAGGGAAGAACAUAUGUGUAAGUAACUGUGCACAUCUUGACGGUACCUAAUCAGAAAGCCACGGCUAACUACGUG